GUCAUUGUGGUGCAAUGGGUUAGUGCAUCUGGCUAUUAACCAGAAGGCUGACUGUUUGAGCCCACCCAGGAAUGGCU